GCAAGGGCAACAGAGCCCUGUUAGGGCCCUGGAUCCUGUGGGGGAAGGGAGGUAGGAUCCUGCUUUCCCCCCAGCCCCGAAGGUCAUGUGAACAACAUUAUAAGAUACAAAAUCAGGGACAAUUUUAGUAGACGCCUUCAAAGUGUCCUGCCUCAUACGCUUUCUGUUUACAUUAUUUACAUACAAUUUUUCUGUUUACAUCAUUAAAUUACAUAGCUGAAAACUAAAGGCAGUAUAGAAGUUGAAUAAAUAAAUAAAUCUGUUUUCUGUGGAAAUGUUAUGUUUAUCUUUCAGAGCAAGUGAGUGAGGCCUGAAAAUGAUAUGCUUUUUUUUUUAAUAAACUAUAUAUUAGGGCUACGCAAAGACUUCCUUCAUCGCAUCAGGCCUUGACUGUGAGCUAGCUCAGACAUUCAGUUUACAGACUUCCCCGUUCUCACCUGUAAGGCAGCCUAUCGGGCAUAUUUUAAUAUCCCAAAAGGUUCACCUUAGAGCAUAUAAAAAAAGACUUACCCACCUUCAGUGGAGCCCACUAAGAAUCUACUCGAGUGAGAAGCAAACUAGACAUGACUACAGUAGAUCCAGCUAUCUCAGAACUGGAUCACUGAGAGUCUGCUGAAUUCUUCUUACUGCAUGGAACCCCGCAGGCCUAACCAUGAGAGAAGUCACAGUUUGAUGAACAAAUACCCUGAUCCAGCAAGGGGCUAUAUGCUCAUGACUCUGAAAACUGCCGCCAAAUGUAUUUUCCGGGUCUGCAUUACUUCCAACGCUUUGUUGUAGUGACUCCGGAGCUGAUCUGAAACUGCCCAAGGGAUCAGCAUUGGCAUCUCUGGUAUGUCUGCGAGGUUCUGGU